AAAAUGUGAAGGGGUAAUGGAAAGAUGAACCGCGCCACCGUGCCUCUUUAGUAUGCCUUCUGUGCAACAGCCACGAGUCGUGGCAUAUCCGGAUGUCUGAAAUACAGGUGUUUAUCGAUAAAAUUAUACUCUGUCCAUUACAAGAUAUCUUCCGCCUUUCUAAGGGAGUCCUUUCUUCUGAGGGUUUUCGAUUCGUUUUGAAGAGUUGAGUUUUUGUUUCACUUUUCAAUUGAAUCGGUGCGGAUGCUGGAUGUAUAUUGAUGGAUGUGUGUACGAGUGAAAUCUCUGAGAUAUGUAUGAUGUUGUGCUAACAACCAUGUCAUCGAGGGUACUGGCUAGGUUCGUGUCACGUAGGUUUUCAAAGUAGUGGCAAAGUCUAGAGCGAGAAAGAAAAAGCUGCUGAACAUAUUUAUAUUAAGGAACUAUGGAAUAAAAUGUCAAGUAUUCUUGGUGUAAAACUACCUAUUCUUUAGGAAGGAGCAAACCUAAGUUGCCAGUCCCUGAACAUUGUGCUUAUUUUAUUAUUGGUUGCAGACUUUUGAUUUGCUUACUGGAAAGCUUUAAAGGGUUCAAGAACACAAUCACCUCGCAUAUACUUCUACGGCAAAAUGGGAACACUCUUUGCAAGCUUCCCGCGGUUCCUUCCUUAUGAUGCCACCCACUCCUGGUUUAUCGAAAGGUCAGAUGUUCAUUUAUUGCAUCUGUGUCCACUUAUUAUUGCAUCUGUGACUUUUUAUUGUCCCAAGUUCGUUCUUCCUACAUGCCAGCUCCGAAUCAUCAAUCAUCAAUGAAUUAGUAAUGGGCUCAUUUUUAUUUCUUGUGCAUGAAUCUUAGCGUGUGUCGAUUUGAUUUUUCAAGAAGAGAUUAGCUGGUCAAUUCCCUCAUCAAAAAGGAGAAGAGGUCAGACUUGCAAAUCUUCAAGAGCUUCAUUUUGUUGGUGUUGGAGUUGGAGUGGGCGUGCAGUGGCUUCCUGUCUGUCAUGAUUAGUCGCUCUUUUGGUUGUUGUCUCUUUUCUCAGCGGCCGGUGGCCUAUUUUCGAUGCCAGUCCCUGAACAUUGUGAGGUUCUUGCAGAGCCAGUUUAAGGUUGGGGUGAUGGCAUGGGUUUUGCUUGCUGUUUUCCUGAUCAAUGCUGUUAUUAGUUGGAUUUUUGUGUACCAAUUCAAGCGGGGUGAUUGGACUAGCUGUUGCAUUGGGCAUAGUAAAUUGGCUUAUAUUUUUCGGGUUACUGUGGUAUGUCAUUCGAGGCGGCUGUCCUCAAACGUGGACUGGUUUGUCACUGGAAGCUUUUUCUGAUCUCUGGGACUUUCUACGGCUUCUGGUGUCAUGCUCUGGGAUGGCAGUAGGAUCAGGAUGUUGCUACUACCUUAUUUGCAUUUUUCUUGGAAUUGUUUUCGAUUGGACUUAUAAUUAUGGUGUUGAGAUGAACUCAAUGUCUCCUUAAAUAUCAGAGGACAAUUUAAUGCCAUCGAGGCUUUGCACAUCGAAGAACAUUGAGAAAGACAACCUCAUCGCAAGAUAUCCAGAGCUUUGAGGUAGCUGUAAAAUCAUCCUCCUCUCGAGCUUGAUCAAGCAAUGCCUUAAAGAAUGGGUUGUCCAAGAAUUCUGAUUACAGAUUGCAUAUUGUGUAAGGGACGAGAGAAUGACAAGGGCUCCUUCUGUUACUGAGGCAGCAAUGUUAUAAACUAUGUAAUACAAGGAACUGCGAGUGAGUGUUGGACCCUUUUUUAUGAGGUGCUUAACAAGAAAGGUGGAAGACAAGAUAUGUUUACUAAGGUGCUUAACAAGAAAGGUGGAAGACAAGAUAUGUCCUGUGGACCGUACAAAGUCGAAAACGCUUUAGCCUAUAUUUAUUUUUGCUUUCACCCAUGCCUUGUGAACUGCAUUGAGCUGUAACAAAAUGAAGCUGGUUCAAAUAUAAAAAGGGGUGAUAUGUAUGAUAGCAUGAUAAUUAGAAGAUGAAUUUGAUGAUAAACGCAAAUUGUUUAUGUGUAUUGGAUUCAUAGAAUAAAAUGUGAGGUCCGGAAAAAAGAUUCUUACGAGAGAAUGGUAAAAGGUAAAAAGAAGAAAA